GACGAACGCUGGCGGCGUGCUUAACACAUGCAAGUCGAACGGAAAGGCCCUGCUUUUGUGGGGUGCUCGAGUGGCGAACGGGUGAGUAACACGUGAGUAACCUGCCCUUGACUUUGGGAUAACUUCAGGAAACUGGGGCUAAUACCGGAUAGGAGCUCCUGCUGCAUGGUGGGGGUUGGAAAGUUUCGGCGGUUGGGGAUGGACUCGCGGCUUAUCAGCUUGUUGGUGGGGUAGUGGCUUACCAAGGCUUUGACGGGUAGCCGGCCUGAGAGGGUGACCGGCCAGAGUGGGGCAGAGGACGGGCCCGGCCGGCGGCGGGGGGCGGGAGGGGGAAAUAUGGAACAGGGGGAGGAAGCGGGAGGCAGAAACGCGGGGGGGGGGAGGGGGUCUUUGGGUUUGUAAACCGCUUCCGCGGGUGACAAAGGGGGGGGGGGGUUAAGGGGUAAAGAAGCACCGGCUAACUACGGG
rnacentral:rRNA from 1 species